UAAAGGCUCUACUUAAGCCUUAUGCCUUCUCUCCAUCGGCAUCAGAUUAAGCUAUGGGUUCAAACUGAGCUCUGGCUGGGUGAUGUGGGCAAAAUGAAACGGAAAGAAAAUGGAAAAUUGUGUUUCUAAAGCCUACCAUCUCCCAGCCACCCACUGGAACUCCAGAUGAAUUCAUGUACAAUUGAGAUGGACCCAAUACUUAGUCAAGAGAUCCAUGUUAGCAGGACACCAAGAUACCUGGUGGCAAAGUCUUUUGAGAAUCUUGGUUCCUAGUGCAGGAGUAUGUGUAAAGAAAAAUAUGAUUAGAAAUCUAUCAUCACCAUUGGUCAAAUAGCCAAGAAGACUGCAAAAAGCAUUGCAGCACAACAGACAUGCCUAAACUCCUUAGCCCAAGUAAUAUUAGAUAACAAGGUUGCCUUAGAUUCUAUGCUGGCUAAACAAGCAGUUGUUUGUGCUAUUGCUCAUAUUACUUGUUGCAUUUGUAUCCAUACCUCUGGAGAAGUUGAAAUUCACCUAGAAAAAAUUUCCCAAAAGAUAAAAUGGUUACAAGAUGUAAGACAAACUGACCCUUUAAAUGAUCUGUUCAGUUAGCUCCCCUCAGGAAUAGACAAUUUUUUCUGCUUUGCUUUAUAGAUGAUUGUCAUUGUCAUAGUAUGUAUUACUAUCUUUUCCUAGCUAUUAAACUACUUAUG